rnacentral:rRNA from 1 species
UCGGACUUUAGUGGCGGACGGGUGAGUAACGCGUGAGAAUCUGGCUUUAGGUCGGGGACAACAGUUGGAAACGACUGCUAAUACCGGAUAUGCCGAGAGGUGAAAGAUUAAUUGCCUGAAGAAGAGCUCGCGUCUGAUUAGCUAGUUGGUGGGGUAAGAGCUUACCAAGGCGACGAUCAGUAGCUGGUCUGAGAGGACGAUCAGCCACACUGGGACUGAGACACGGCCCAGACUCCUACGGGAGGCAGCAGUGGGGAAUUUUCCGCAAUGGGCGAAAGCCUGACGGAGCAAUACCGCGUGAGGGAGGAAGGCUCUUGGGUUGUAAACCUCUUUUCUGAGGGAAGAAAAAAAUGACGGUACCUCAGGAAUCAGCAUCGGCUAACUCCGUGCCAGCAGCCGCGGUAAUACGGAGGAUGCAAGCGUUAUCCGGAAUGAUUGGGCGUAAAGCGUCCGCAGGUGGCAUUUCAAGUCUGCGGUCAAAGGUCGAGGCUCAACCUCGAACAGGCCGUGGAAACUGAAAAGCUAGAGUGUGGUAGGGGCAGAGGGAAUUCCCAGUGUAGCGGUGAAAUGCGUAGAGAUUGG